CAUUAGGCAGAAGCUAAAAUUUAAAAACUGACCACUUACAAGAGAAGCUAGAAAGCUUAAACAGCAAUAAGAAGCAAUUAUUUUAGGGUAAAAUAGAAAUGAGCGAAUAGGAAACAAGUAGCAGAAGUGUGAUAGUGAUACUACUAAACGUGAAUAUAAAUACACCUAAUCCGAAUUUAGCGUAACCUUUAAUAUCAUUGACGCUAUGUCCACUCUACUUCAAUCCUCUUUCAUUUCUUCUUCCUUCUCUCGUUUCUCUCCAAUCCAACCUUCCCCUCGAAUCUCUCUCCCAAACGCUCUCAGAUGUAACAAUAAUAAUAAUGUAGUAGAGUCUCUCAAUUUGGAUAACGGAAGGUUAGUUAACGGUUCAACUUCUCUUCCGAACUUCCUUGUGGCGCCUAACGCCGGCAUCCAUGAUCUCGUUAACAGAAAUCGUCUUCGAAUUUUCUCCGGCACCGCCAACCCCGCUCUCGCUCAGGAAAUUGCAUGCUACAUGGGCCUGGAACUGGGAAAAAUUAAGAUAAAACGUUUUGCCGAUGGUGAGAUAUAUGUCCAACUGCAAGAGAGUGUAAGGGGGUGUGAUGUGUUUCUUGUGCAGCCCACAUGUCCUCCUGCAAAUGAGAACCUUAUGGAGCUUCUCGUAAUGAUUGAUGCCUGCAGGAGAGCUUCAGCCAAAAAUAUUACUGCAGUUAUUCCAUAUUUUGGAUAUGCUAGAGCUGAUAGAAAGACUCAAGGGCGUGAAUCAAUUGCUGCUAAGCUUGUAGCAAAUUUAAUUACAGAAGCAGGUGCAAAUCGUGUUCUUGCAUGUGACCUCCACUCUGGGCAGUCUAUGGGCUACUUCGAUAUUCCAGUUGAUCAUGUGUAUGGACAGCCUGUUAUACUUGAUUACCUUGCCAGCAAGACUAUUUGUUCAGAUGAUUUGGUAGUUGUCUCGCCAGAUGUUGGUGGUGUAGCUAGAGCACGUGCUUUUGCCAAAAAAUUAUCUGAUGCUCCUUUAGCUAUUGUUGAUAAAAGGCGUCAUGGGCAUAAUGUUGCCGAGGUGAUGAAUUUGAUUGGUGAUGUAAAGGGAAAGGUAGCAGUUAUGGUAGAUGACAUGAUCGAUACAGCUGGAACCAUCGCCAAGGGUGCAGCUCUGUUGCAUCAAGAAGGGGCAAGAGAAGUCUAUGCAUGCACUACACAUGCUGUUUUCAGGAAUCUCGACCAGCUUUCUUUUGGUAUCUAAUGUGGUCUAUGUAUAUAGAUAGAUAGAUACAAAGAUUGGUGGACAAACAAGGGAUGUGUUCUCCUUAGGAAGCAAUCAUUCAGUCUUUCUCAUGUUUUUUCUGUAUAUUUUUUCUCUCUAAAAUUUUGGGAUCAUUAAUACAGUUGGGAAGAUUAUGAGGGGCUUCCUUUGGUCAAGGAUUUGGUAUAUUGAGCGGGAUUAUUUGGUCAGUUGGGAAAACUGUUGUAAGCCUAAUUGGAGUCUUGGACAUGGAAACAUGGUAGGAUCAUCUACUAGCUAACACAAUACUUGCAAUCUUUCCGGCAAUUUCAGAACAACUACUAUUAUUUCAGUUGAGAGUUUUUGGGAGGAGUAAAUACCCUGUGGCAUUGUACAGCUAAUGCAGUUAUGUGUUGCCUAUAGUUGGAGAGAAUGCAUAACUUCCCUCCUGCUAUAGAGAGAUUGUCAAGCGGUUUAUUUCAAGAAGUUAUCAUAACUAAUACAAUUCCGGUGUCAGAGAAGAACUAUUUCCCUCAAUUGACUGUCUUAUCAGUGGC